UUUUUUCUGCUCAGUGACUGCAAGCCAAGGAGUGAGGGCUCAGAAGAAACCAAAUCUGUCAACAUCUUGAUCUGGGACUCCUGGCCUCCAGACUGUGGGAAGAUAAAUUUAUGUUGGCCUUUGGUAACUUAUUAUGGCAGCCCGAGCUGACUACCACAGGAGGGGUCUCUGAGCUACCUGGAGGGAGAAGGGUCUGCACCUGGAGACUCCCACCUAAGAUAGGGGUUUAGAUGAGACCACUCUGGGAGGACACGCGGCCGAAUGUGGAGGCCCCACAGCCGAAUGUGGAGGCCCCGAGGAAGAUCAGCUCUGAAGACACAGGCAGGCAAAGGGCAGACCUCGAAGGAGAUGGAGGAGGAAUGACAGAGGGCAAGAAGAAUCAGGUGAGGGACUGCCACAAAAGCCAGUGACAAAAACUUCCAGAAGAGCUGUCAACAGUACCAAACAAAGCAGAAGAGUCUCAUAAGAUUAAAAAUAAAAUUUGCUUCCAUAAUCUGGUGACUGUCAGGGCACAAUGAGCCAAGGAAAAAACAGUUUUCCUGUACUGGUGAGAGCAGAAAGCAGAUUCCAGAGGACUGGAAGUUCUUAAGAGCUGUGGGAAUGGAGACAAGAAGUGUUUUGAUAAUUAGAUGAGGGUGCAGCAGUUUAAAGGAGAGAUUAUUAAGGAUAGGAGAGGCUGGGUGUGAUGGCUCG
rnacentral:lncRNA from 1 species